rnacentral:rRNA from 1 species
AUUGAACGCUGGCGGCAGGCCUAACACAUGCAAGUCGAGCGGAGCGGCGGACGGGUGAGUAAUGCCUAGGAAUCUGCCUGGUAGUGGGGGAUAACGUCCGGAAACGGGCGCUAAUACCGCAUACUAUCAGAUGAGCCUAGGUCGGAUUAGCUAGUUGGUGGGGUAAAGGCCUACCAAGGCGACGAUCCGUAACUGGUCUGAGAGGAUGAUCAGUCACACUGAAACUGAGACGGGUUCCAGACUCCUACGGGAGGCAGCAGUGGGAAAUAUUGGACAAGGGGCAAAAGCCUGAGCCAGCCAUGCCGGGUGUGUGAAGAGGGUCUGCGGAUUGUAAAGCACUUUAAGUUGGGAGGCGUUACCCGCAGAAGAAGCACCGGCUAACUCCGUGCCAGCAGCCGCGGUAUAC